AGUGAACGCUGGCGGUAGGCCUAACACAUGCAAGUCGAACGGCAGCACAGGAGAGCUUGCUCUCUGGGUGGCGAGUGGCGGACGGGUGAGGAAUACAUCGGAAUCUACUCUGUCGUGGGGGAUAACGUAGGGAAACUUACGCUAAUACCGCAUACGACCUACGGGUGAAAGCAGGGGAUCUUCGGACCUUGCGCGAUUGAAUGAGCCGAUGUCGGAUUAGCUAGUUGGCGGGGUAAAGGCCAACCAAGGCGACGAUCCGUAGCUGGUCUGAGAGGAUGAUCAGCCACACUGGAACUGAGACACGGUCCAGACUCCUACGGGAGGCAGCAGUGGGGAAUAUUGGACAAUGGGCGCAAGCCUGAUCCAGCCAUACCGCGUGGGUGAAGAAGGCCUUCGGGUUGUAAAGCCCUUUUGUUGGGGAAGAAAUCCAGCUGGCUAAUACCCGGUUGGGAUGACGGUACCCAAAGAAUAAGCACCGGCUAACUUCGUGCCAGCAGCCGCCGUAA
rnacentral:rRNA from 1 species